AUGCAAGUCGAGGGGCAGCGCGGAGGUGGCAACACUCUGGCGGCGACCGGCGCACUGGUGAGUAACACGUAUGCGACCUGCCCCGGACAGGGGGAUAAACCCGGGAAACUGGGCCUAAGUACCCCAUACGCCGCGAGGAUGCAUGUCCUUGUGGUGAAAGAUCCGUCGGUCCGGGAUGGGCAUGCGGCGCAGUUAGCUUGUUGGCGGGGCAACGGCCCACCAAGGCGACGAUGCGUAGGGGUUCUGAGAGGAAGGUCCCCCACACUGGUACUGAGACACGGACCAGACUCCUACGGGAGGCAGCAGUGAGGAAUAUUGGUCAAUGGACGGCGGUCUGAACCAGCCAAAAGUCGCGUGCGGGAUGAAGGCCCUCCGGGUCGUAAACCGCUUUAGCCGGGGAGUAACGUGCGGAACGUGUUCCGCAGUGAGAGUACCCGGAGAAUAAGCAUCGGCUAACUCCGUGCCAGCCGCUGC
rnacentral:rRNA from 1 species